rnacentral:rRNA from 1 species
UACGGGGGGGGUAAGCGUUGUUCGGAAUUACUGGGCGUAAAGGGCUCGUAGGCGGCCAACUAAGUCGGACGUGAAAUCCCUCAGCUUAACUGGGGAACUGCGCCUGAUACUGGAUGGCUUGGAUUUGGGAGAGGGAUGCGGAAUUCCAGGUGUAGCGGUGAAAUGCGUAGAUAUCUGGAGGAACACCGGUGGCGAAGGCGGCAUCCUGGACCAACAUUGACGCUGAGGAGCGAAAGCCAGGGGAGCAAACGGG